rnacentral:misc_RNA from 1 species
ACGCGGCGGCGGAGAUCGUCCCGCGCCGGCCGCCCGAGGCCGUGCCGUACUCCUCGCGAGCGCGGACCAGCGGCGGUUAGACCGGAGCGACAAGGCGACAGCGGAAGGUGAGUCGAUGCGGGCCCGUCCCGCAUGGACAGCUUACAGCCCUGGCGUACGAUGCUCCGGUGCGACCGAGGAACGUGGGCAGCCCUUGCCCGCCGUGGCGCACGCCGUAUGGCGGGGCCCCCCGACGCGAGUGAACCGUGCGGUGUGGACUGCGUGCAGUGCUAACCGUGGCGGGGAUCUCGCGCCGGUGGGUGCCACCUGUGCGCCAUCGCCGCUGGUAGUCGGAU